CCUCGGGCCUUCAGGCCGUCCUUAAGGGCCCUGCGGGGUCGCUGCGGGGCUGCGGGCUCUGCGCAGUGCGGGGUCGGUGUGGAAGUGUGAAGCUGGCGGGGAAGGUGGAGGAGCUGCCGUGGUUUGCGGGGGGAGAAGGCCGCCGUGCGCUGAGGGUGCGGGCGUUGCCAGCAUCCAGAGAGGAGUGGGCAGUGGAUUAACCUUGUAACUAAGGGGCAGAAGAGAGGCACUUUAACAGAAGACAUCUGGAUGUUGCAGCUGUCAGCACGGGAUGUCCCUUGGUGAGCGCAGCCACGACCGGCUGCCAAGAGGUAGAUUGCCACGUGAAGAGGACUGGCAGUGGGCUGUUGGAAGAAGAUGGAGCCAUCCUCUUCAGUCUUGUGAGCUUGUGCUGUGUGUUGAAGUUGUGAUAUUCAAGAUCCUGAGCAGCUGCCUGGUAGGGCUUCUGCACUGCGUCCUGUGUGCUUCUGCUUUGCUAACAUGCCUGGUCACUGAACAUCCCUGUUCAAGAUGCUGAGCACUCAUCUGAAGAAUUGACCAAACUUGUACUUUAUGAAUUUGUUCUUCACUGCUCCUUGUCCAGCUGUUGCAGCAGGGGGUAUAGCUCAGUGGUAGAGCAUUUGACUGCAGAUCAAGAGGUCCCUGGUUCAACUCCAGGUGCCCCCUCUUUACCUUCUUUUCCAACCCUUCUUCUUCCCAGGUCCUUCACAGACAGGAUUCUUGUUCUUCAGGGGUCUUCAAGAUCACUUGUACCAAAAAAAUAAAAAGGUUUCCAGUUU